UACGUAGGGUGCAAGCGUUGUCCGGAAUUAUUGGGCGUAAAGAGCUUGUAGGCGGUUUGUCGCGUCUGCUGUGAAAUUUCGGGGCUCAACCCCGAACUUGCAGUGGGUACGGGCAGACUAGAGUGUGGUAGGGGAGACUGGAAUUCCUGGUGUAGCGGUGAAAUGCGCAGAUAUCAGGAGGAACACCGAUGGCGAAGGCAGGUCUCUGGGCCAUAACUGACGCUGAGAAGCGAAAGCAUGGGGAGCAAACAGG
rnacentral:rRNA from 1 species